rnacentral:misc_RNA from 1 species
GAUGAAGAACGUAGCGAAAUGCGAUAAGUAAUGUGAAUUGCAGAAUUCAGUGAAUCAUCGAAUCUUUGAACGCACAUUGCGCCCGCCAGUAUUCUGGCGGGCAUGCCUGUUCGAGCGUCAUUUCAACCAUCAAGCCCCCGGCUUGUGUUGGGGACCUGCGGCUGCCGCAGGCCCUGAAAACCAGUGGCGGGCUCGCUAGUCACUCCGAGCGUAGUAGUUACAUCUCGCUCAGGGCGUGCUGUGGGUUCCGGCCGUUAAAAGCCUUAUUUACCCAAGGUUGACCUCGGAUCAGGUAGGAAGACCCGCUGAACUUAAGCAUAUCAAUAAGCGGAGGA